rnacentral:misc_RNA from 1 species
AAGUCGUAACAAGGUUUCCGUAGGUGAACCUGCGGAAGGAUCAUUAUUGAAUAAACUUGGUAGGCUGUUGCUGGCUCUGCGGAGCAUGUGCACGCUUACUGACUUUAUCUAUCCACCUGUGCACCCUUUGUAGUCUUGGGAGGUUGACAAGCAGCUCUGGAGGCCUGGCAAAAGCUUGGCUUUCCUAGGUUGCAAUCACUUCUUUGGACUAUGUUUUUGCAUACACUAUGUAGCAUGUCGCAGAAUGUAUCAUAAGGGCCUCUAAGCCCAUAAACAUCAUACAACUUUCAGCAACGGAUCUCUUGGCUCUC